rnacentral:rRNA from 1 species
AGCUCCAAUAGCGUAUAUUAAAGUUGUUGCCGUUAAAAAGCUCGUAGUUGAACUUUGGAUCUGGCCGAUCUGUCCUCCUAACCGAGCGCACGGAUUCGGUCGGAUCUUUCCUUCUGGGGAACCCGAUGCUCUUCAUUGGGUGUCGCGGGGAACCAGGACUUUUACCUUGAAAAAAUUAGAGUGUUCAAAGCAGGCCUUUGCUCGAAUACAUUAGCAUGGAAUAAUAAAAUAGGACAUCGGUUCUAUUUUGUUGGUUUCUAGGACCGCUGUAAUGAUUAAUAGGGAUAGUCGGGGGCGUCCGUAUUCAAUUGUCAGAGGUGAAAUUCUUGGAUUUAUUGAAGACGAACUACUGCGAAAGCAUUCGCCAAGGAUGUUUUCA